CAUCAUGACGAGUUGUGAAACACUUGCCCUCUUCAGUCUGUGUGCAGGCGUGCAUGGCAUCUACCUCCACGCCAUGUCAGCAGCCAUGGCCUAGUGGUGGGCAGCUGUGGCUUAGUGGUGGCGGGCAGCCAUGGCCUAGUGGUCUUUCAAUCUAGGGGUUGCAGGUUCGAAUCCCCACUGACCUCUCCCUUCAUCUCCAUGCAUGGCUGAAGUGCCCUUGAGCAAGGCACCUUACCAUACAUUGCUCCAGGGACUGUAACCAAUACCCUGAAAAAUAAUAACUGUAAGUCGCUUUUAAUAAAAUGAAAGCGUCAGCUAAGUGCAAUGUAAUGCCACAUGUGAUAUAAUGUCUCUCAAAGCAACUUCCCUGGAUGACCCAGCUAUGAUUCUCACCUGAGGUACAAGCCUAGACAUACAUACCUUCCAGGCAAAAAAAUGUGCUGCUGGUAGGGUUUGCCUUUCUAAGAUAAACUAUGUGGAAAAAUAGUUUACAUUUGUGUCAGCUGUGGUGUAAUGGCUUUUUAAAAAUACUUUGUGUCAAGCAGAGGGAUAUCCUUUAACAGUUCCUGUUAUCACAUCACUUGUCCCAUUCCCAUCAUAUCAGAUAUCACAUCACACACGGGUUACUUUCCACCCUGUGUGUAGCGAAAACAAAAAACAAAACUUAAGAUCAUAGUCACCCAUGGCGGGAAAAGGGGCGUAAUGGUUAAAAGGGGUUGUCCUUGAGACCUGGAGAUCAUUGGUUCAGACAUUACAAGUGUAAAUAGUGGAUGUAGCUCUAGUUUUAUCAUUCAUUGUUAUGUUUGUUCGUAAGUUGAGUCCAGAGUUUUAUUUUUUUGUGUGAACUCCCUUCAACCCUCUGACCGGAUGUUUUCAUCUGAUUACCAACAUUUGCUGCUGCACUUACCUGUAUAGGAGCAUCCACACAGGACAGCACCCCACAGAGGAGGACGUCUAGACACAAGAAAUCAAGUCUAUGUACCUGUAUAGGCAUGAUGGGGAUCCAGACUCAGGACCUCCAGACGGGAGCCAUGGGGCUCAGCCAAGUCGCACACUCAGACAACGGGACAGGAUUCUCUUGUAGAGAGCGACAUAAAGAUGAGAAACGUCCUCUUGAGAGACUUUCCAGUGCAGAUGUGACCUUGGUACCGAACCUGCUGGGGCGUCAGAUCAGCACAGAGCCUCCUGAUCCAGAGGGGGCGCCACCUGUGGAGACAGACGAUGCCGAAGACACCAGGAGGAACAUGAAGCGCUUUCACACUUGGUCCCUUUGAGACAUUUAAACCAUCUCAGACUAGUGACAUAUUCUGUGUAUGUCAAUAGUAGCCUACACAAUAGGGGUCAUUUUUGAUUGGUCAUUGUGCUGGCCAAGGUAGUACAGCUAUGAAGGGAGAGCUACUAGAUUUUCAUGCUAGUUAGGCUCCCCUUCAGCCAGACCUUAGCCUUAAGGCUUAUUUAGCUUUUAUUUAGUCAGGACAGUCGAAGACAGAGAGAGAGAGAGAGAGAGAGAGAGAGAGAGAGAGAGAGAGAGAGAGAGAGAGAGAGAGAGAGAGAGAGAGAGAGAGAGAGAGAGAGAGAGAGAGAGAGAGAGAGAGAAGGAAGGAUCGGGAUAUUACCUUGGGCUGGAUUCGAACCCGGGUCCCCAGCCCACUGAGCCACGAUGCCUCCUACUUUGCCAACGUUGUCACUGUGUUCCCUUCAGCUGGUGUGGGGAUGGGGAUCUCUUCUUCAUUGUAUCUCAGUGUGUAAGUACAGUUAUAGAUGUUGUUGUCCCCCUCUAACUCUAGAUAAGUCACAAGCUACAUCUCUGGUUGAGAGCGUAGACUGUUUUUACUGCAUAGACCCUGAUGACCAGCCUCAUGAGCUCAGGUGGGAUGACAAGAGGGGGUGUAGAGGAGAAAUCAGAACCAGAGGGAAUCAUGUUGGUGUUGCUUUCCUUAGUAACGGGAUGUUGCUUUCCUUAGUAACGGGAUGCUGCUUUCCUUAGUAACGGGAUGUUGCUUUCCUUAGUAACGGGAUGUUGCUUUCCUUAGUAACGGGAUGCUGCUUUCCUUAGUAACAGGAUGCUGCUUAACGGGAUGCUAGCGAUGCUACUGUACGGUUCUUUUCUUGUGAAGAGACACAUUUUAAACUGUGGCCAUUUGUAACUUUUUAUACUGCAUUAACACUCCUUGUAAGAUUUCUGUGUCAUUAGCCCAGUUGAUUUAUAAUAGUAGCCUAAUAUUUUAUAAUAUAUUAUAAUAAUUUAUCUGCCAAAUUAUUUGAUUCCGUUUCAGAGCAUCUUGGUAUGUUCUUUUUGGAAGGCUGCUUUCUUGCCUGUCUAUAUCUUAUAAAAUAUAAUAAUAUGAUAUAUGUAUAAAAAUGUUUGACACCAGUAACAUCAGACACAAUGACUGUAUUUAAGAUGUCAAGAUAUUCAGUUCUUUUAAAAGGUGUUUUCUAUAUGUCCAUGUGUGUUCGGGAGUUGACUUUAUAUUAAUUCAGUAAGACAAAUUGUCACACUUCAUUUACUGUAAAUUAAGUUUUUAUUAUGUGCAGAUUGGAGCCACAUAACAUUUUUUUUUUCAACAAGUUACUGUACGACACUUAGCUAUGAAACAUUUUAAUCAAUACAUAAAACACAGUCACUUAAAUACUAUAUAUAAGAAGUUCUAUUCUGGCAGGGGUUUUACCUUUUAGAAGAAGUGGUUCGGGUUUUGUGUUUCCAAGAUAUUAUGGAUAUCAUAUCCCUCUAUGUUAUCUUGCUUUCAACAAGCUGAGAGGCACCUGUACCCCAGUGAGAGGGAGGUCUGUCCAAUAGCCAUAAUGGCUAAUACAAGAUGCUCCAGUAUAACCCAGUGUGAUACUGGAUGAAAAUGUUUUCCAUUAACUGUGCAUGCAUAGUAUGUUUCAUUGAGCUUUUGUAGAAAAUAUGAAUAAAAAAGAAAAGAAAAAUGACAUUCCGUUCAGACAUUCCGUCAGAACCCAGACAAGAAACCGAUCACCUGUCCCUUGACUGGCUAUUUGAAUUAUUUAGAAGUAGGUGUACAGUACUGUAUGUGUGAAGUCCACUGUGCCUCUAAUGCCUCUUUUCCAUUGCCGGUUUUCUGGUAGGCCUACAUUUUGACCAAGCGCGACUCGGCCGCCACGUUUUGCUUUAUGAUUGAGCUGUGUCAUGCCUAUUCGAAAAUCUUUGUCGAGAUGUAGGCAUACCAGAAAUCCGGCAGUGGAAAAGAGGCAUAAGUUCUUCCUGGAAGAAUGGGUGUCUGUUCUUCCUGGUAGAGUGGUGGACGUUCUUCCUCUUCCUGAUGGUUGUGGAAGCUGCAAACAUGAUAGUCCCCCUUAGGUUUGGGGUUUUGUCUUUACUGUCACCCCUGAAAGCUUUUACAAAGGGAUGAAGGAUGUGCAUAACACCUGACCUUAAUCUUUAUUUUCUAGAAAUACAGAUGUAUUUGGAAAUGUGUUCCACCAGCCAUUUGUUUUUGGUUUGUAUAUCUGUAGAAAAAUGAUUCGUUUGUAACCUGUGUUACUACAAAUACAGUAAUUCUGUGCAAAGAAAAUAUGUGUAAAAUCAUGAUUUCGGUUGUAUGUAACCACACUACAUGAUGGAAAAUAGCUAAGCAGUAGUUUCUUUGUGCAUAUUAAAACGUUUUUCCAACUUACACCUGUGGUGCAACUGCCAAAAUCAAUAAAUUAAAAAUGAACAACAAA